GGAGCCGUGCCUGAAUAAAGGGCCACUUUGAUAGGGUGAAUCAUGAGGGUUAAAACCCCUCCGACUCCU
rnacentral:tRNA from 1 species